rnacentral:snRNA from 1 species
AUAUGCUGGUUUCUCUCCAGGUCACAUAAUCUUUCACCUUUUAUUAAAGCUUUCUGUGGAGAGGAACACACGACUCGCAGUUUUUCAACUACUUCUGGAAGUAGACAAAGUCUCACUUUGUCA